AUGGCUUCUCGUCAGGAUCAGGCUAGCUACCACGCCGGGGAGGCCAAGGCCCGCGCCGAGGAGAAGACGGGGUACGUCGUGGGCGCGGCGCAGGACAAGGCGAGGGAGGCCAAGGACACGGCGUCCGACGCCGCGGGCCGUGCCAUGGGCAGGGGCGGCGACGCCAAGGAGGCGACCAAGGAGAAGGCGUACGAGGCCAAGGACGCGGCGUCGGACGCCACCGGCCGCGCCAUGGACAAGGGCCGCGGCGCCGCGGAGGCCACCAAGGAGAAGGGCUGCGAGGCCAAGGACAAGGCCGCCGGCACCGCGCAGCAGACCGGGAGCUACAUCGCCCAGACGGCCGAGGCCGCCAAGCAGAAGGCGGCCGGCGCCGCCCAGUACACCAUCGACACGGCCCGUGCCGGCACCGAGCAGACCGGGAGCUACAUCGAGCAGACGGCCGAGGCCGCCAAGCAGAAGGCCGGCGCGGCCGCGCAGUAUGCCAUGGACACCGCCGUCGCCGGCAAGGACAAGACCGGCAGCCUCCUCGUGCAGGUACAUUGUUACAUUCUUUUCUUCUUAGGGGAAAGAUCUCUUGUCACAUUCUUGCAGCAGACGUUCUAA
rnacentral:rRNA from 1 species